rnacentral:misc_RNA from 1 species
AAGUCGUAACAAGGUAACCGUAGGUGAACCUGCGGUUGGAUCAUUAUAAAUUUAAAUAUUAUAUCUUAUAAUAAUAUUUUAUAUAAUAAUUUGCUCCUUUUUAUAAUAUUAUGAGUUUUUUCAUAGUAUUAUGAAAGGUUUGAGUCGAUUUAUUAUAAAAGAUAUUAUUAUAUUUUAUAAUUAAACACUUUGUGCACUAUAUAUGUUUUUUGGGAUUCAUUUCUUUUUUAUGAAUUCCAGCAUUAUAAACCAAACUUUAUAUAAUUUGACUGAUAGUUUUUUCAUAUAUUGAAAUAUAUAAAACAACUUUUGACAACGGAUCUCUUGGCUCUC